rnacentral:rRNA from 1 species
UACGGGGGGGGCAAGCGUUGUUCGGAAUUACUGGGCGUAAAGGGCUCGUAGGCGGCCAACCAAGUCAGACGUGAAAUCCCUCGGCUUAACCGGGGAACUGCGUCUGAUACUGGAUGGCUUGAGUUUGGGAGAGGGAUGCGGAAUUCCAGGUGUAGCGGUGAAAUGCGUAGAUAUCUGGAGGAACACCGGUGGCGAAGGCGGCAUCCUGGACCAACACUGACGCUGAGGAGCGAAAGCCAGGGGAGCAAACGGG